rnacentral:rRNA from 1 species
AUUGAACGCUGGCGGCAGGCCUAACACAUGCAAGUCGAACGAGUGGCGCACGGGUGAGUAACGUAUGGGAAACUGCCUGAUGGAGGGGGAUAACUACUGGAAACGGUAGCUAAUACCGCAUACCAUCAGAUGUGCCCAGAUGGGAUUCGCUUGUUGGUGGGGUAACGGCUCAUCAAGGCGAAGAUCCCUAGCUGGUCGGAGAGGAUGACCAGCCACCCUGGAACUGCAACACGGUCCGAACUCCUCCGGGAGGCAGCAGUGGGGAAUAUUGCACAGUGGGGGAAAGCCGGAUGCAGACAUGCCGGGUGUAGGAAGAAGGCCUUCGGGUUGUAAAGUACUGUCAGCGGGGAGGCGGUACCCGCAGAAGAAGCACCGGCUAACUCCGUGCCAGCAGCCGCGGUAAUAC